rnacentral:rRNA from 1 species
AGUGAACGCUGGCGGUAGGCCUAACACAUGCAAGUCGAACGGCAGCACAGUAAGAGCUUGCUCUUACGGGUGGCGAGUGGCGGACGGGUGAGGAAUACAUCGGAAUCUACUUUUUCGUGGGGGAUAACGUAGGGAAACUUACGCUAAUACCGCAUACGACCUACGGGUGAAAGCAGGGGAUCUUCGGACCUUGCGCGAUUGAAUGAGCCGAUGUCGGAUUAGCUAGUUGGCGGGGUAAAGGCCCACCAAGGCGACGAUCCGUAGCUGGUCAGGGAGGAUGAUCAGCCACACUGGAACUGAGACACGGUCCAGACUCCUACGGGAGGCAGCAGUGGGGAAUAUUGGACAAUGGGCGCAAGCCUGAUCCAGCCAUACCGCGUGGGUGAAGAAGGCCUUCGGGUUGUAAAGCCCUUUUGUUGGGAAAGAAAAGCAGCAGGUUAAUACCCCGCUGUUCUGACGGUACCCAAAGAAUAAGCACCGGCUAACUUCGUG